CCUACGGGUGGCAGCAGUGAGGAAUAUUGGUCAAUGGACGCAAGUCUGAACCAGCCAUGCCGCGUGCAGGAAGACGGCUCUAUGAGUUGUAAACUGCUUUUGUACGAGGGUAAAUCCCGAUACGUGUAUCGGGUUGAAAGUAUCGUACGAAUAAGGAUCGGCUAACUCCGUGCCAGCAGCCGCGGUAAUACGGAGGAUUCGAGCGUUAUCCGGAUUGAUUGGGUUUAAAGGGAGCGUAGGCGGUUCGAUAAGUUAGAGGUGAAAGCCCGGGGCUCAACUCAGGCACUGCAUCUGAUACUGGCGGGCUAGAGUUUAGUUGCGGUAGGCGGAAUGUAUGGUGUAGCGGUGAAAUGCAUAGAGAUCAUGCAGAACACCGAUUGCGAAGGCAGCUUACUAAACUGCGACUGACGUUGAGGCACGAAAGCGUGGGGAGCAAACAGGAUUAGAUACCCUAGUAGUC
rnacentral:rRNA from 1 species